GUUUUCUUCUCCAUAUUCUCGCAGAACUCGCCCUACUUCAUCAGCUGGCCAAGAAUUCAAUAUGUCUUCAGCUUUUAGAGUUGCCUUUGGAUUCAUUCUCAUGUCAAGAGGUCCAUUCUUCAGCAUGCUAAAACCUCUUCCAGCAUCAUUUACCUGCAUAGAUGACAUACCCAAGUCCAUCAAGAUCCCAUUAACUCCACCAGUCAAUAAGUCAUCUGCAACUUCACCAAGCACAGACUUGACGUCCUUGAAAU
rnacentral:misc_RNA from 1 species